rnacentral:rRNA from 1 species
CAGUAGCCGCGGGAAUACGUAGGGGGCAAGCGUUAUCCGGAAUUAUUGGGCGUAAAGGGAGCGCAGGCGGACAUAUAAGUCCAUCUUAAAAGUGCGGGGCUCAACCCCGUGAGGGGAUGGAAACUGUAUGCCUUGAGUGUAGGAGAGGAAAGCGGAAUUCCCAGUGUAGCGGUGAAAUGCGUAGAUAUUGGGAGGAACACCAGUGGCGAAGGCGGCUUUCUGGACUGCAACUGACGCUGAGGCUCGAAAGCCAGGGGAGCGAACGGGAUUAGAGACCCCUGUAGUCCCUGUCUCUUAUACA